UAUUAGCGUAUAAAAAUAAUUCAAACAACCAAUAUUACAUAUAUAUAUAAAGUACGAGUUCAUGUUAGAGUCAGUUAGGAUACAGCCGGGCACAAGUUGGCGAGACACAUUUUGACGGGAGGAAUGAAGGAAUUGAGAGAAAAAGUGACGUGUAUUACGAAAGAAACUUAACAAUUCUUUUAAGCGUUAUUCUAGAAGCUUAAACACAUUACUUUGUAUAGAAAAUAUAUAUGAAUUAUUAAAUUCAAAAUGCCAAUGCCCAGUACUGGUAGGCGAAGAACUACUGCAAAACUUCACACUGCUGAAAAUGAAGCUCUUGAUCAAAUUGCUCGUGAGGCUGAAGCACGCUUGGCUGCAAGAAGACAUGCAAGAGCAGAAGCUCGGGAAAUUCGUAUGAGAGAAUUAGAAAAACAACAGAGAGAGGUAAAAAGGUUAAAUCUUGCAUAAAAAUUUAGUUUAUAAAAACCAAUAAUGAUUU